rnacentral:rRNA from 1 species
UACGAAGGGGGCUAGCGUUGCUCGGAAUGACUGGGCGUAAAGGGCGCGUAGGCGGAUGGUACAGUCAGAUGUGAAAUUCCCGGGCUCAACCUGGGGGCUGCAUUUGAUACGUAUGAUCUUGAGUGGGGAAGAGGGUCGUGGAAUUCCCAGUGUAGAGGUGAAAUUCGUAGAUAUUGGGAAGAACACCUGAGGCGAAGGCGGGUUGCUGGGCCGACACUGACGCUGAGGCGCGAAAGCCAGGGGAGCAAACGGG